GAUGAAGAACGCAGCGAAAUGCGAUAAGUAGUGUGAAUUGCAGAAUUCAGUGAAUCAUCGAAUCUUUGAACGCACAUUGCGCCCCUUGGUAUUCCAUGGGGCAUGCCUGUUCGAGCGUCAUCUACACCCUCAAGCUCUGCUUGGUGUUGGGCGUCUGUCCCGCCCCCGCGCGUGGACUCGCCCCAAAUCCAUUGGCAGCGUUCCUUGCCCCCUCUCGCGCAGCACAUUGCGCUUCUCGAGGGCGGCUCACGGGACGCGAUCCAUCAAGAUGACCACCGUCUUUGACCUCGGAUCAGGUAGGGAUACCCGCUGAACUUAAGCAUAUCAAUAAGCGGAGGA
rnacentral:misc_RNA from 1 species